CUUGAUGAGUAGAUGGGUUUUCGUUGAAACUGUCAGAAGUGAAAAUAACAAGAUGGCGACAGCAGAGAUGUCUGUCGACGAGCAAAUCGAAGAAAGAGUCAAUUUAUACAAAGCUCAUAUUGCAGAAUCUGUUAUUGCCACCGAGCUGUUGGGGUUAUUAGACUUAGGACAAAGCUAAAAAACAAGAAAUCAGACAAAUAAAACAGCAAACAGGAGAUAUCAAAGCAACAGAAAAACUUCUUGAUGUCAUCAAAGAGACCAACACAGUGGGAAAGUGGUCGCAGUUUGUCGACAGCCUAGCUCGAGCAGAUUAUGAGUAUUUAGCCAAAGCUUUAAGAAAAGGAGACAUGAAUAUUGCGAGUGCAGACUCAACGUAUCACAGCCAGUUAAUAGAAUUAUUUAGUCCAGAUAUCAUAAAAAAGCUUGACCCUGUAAAUUUGGUUCAAAGUUUGGUUUGCCACCGUGUCAUCAAUAAACAGGAUAAGGAAGAAAUUGAGGCAGAGAAAACCAGUCGUGGAAAUAUCGCAGCAUCGAUUGUUCUAUUGGAUCGAAUUCCAAGGAGACACAAGGACUGGUCUAACUUAUUUCUGCAGGCAUUGCAUGAGGCUGAGGAAGGGAAACAAGAUGAAUUAAUCAACUUACUUGAUCCCUGCUUCCUUGAAAAAUAUGAGGCAAAGAAAAACGAGAACCCUACAAUGCUGAAAUAUCAACCUGUCCACUGUAGUCUUGGAUCAUCUGUCAUUUCAGAUACAGGUACAAUGGAGCACUAUGCCUCAGGAUUUGGUGGAGCUGUCUCUAUUGGAAACUGUAAUGCACCACCUUCUUUAGAAAGUAAUUCAUUCAACAGUGAACUUUCUGAUCAACAUUCAAUGAUGGGCAGGUUCUUAGACACCCCUUCUAUGAGUGGCGCUCUCUCCGACCAACGUCACAUGAUGUCAGAUAUUCUAAAAAGUGAUAACUUAAAUGUUGAAAACCAGGAGGAGGAAACAUCUGAGAAGGUGAUUUACUCUCGUGUCAAGUCUGACAGUAUGAACGGUCCAAUGGCUCGACUAAUGGAUAUCUCGUCAAGACAUGCUGGCCCCAGUUCAAUGUCAACAGUGUCCCGGGAAAGCUUGACUUCAGCAGCAUCUUUCAAUGGUCAGGGCAGAGGUAUACUACUGAACACAAGAAACACAACAGGAGCAGACUUGGAGAAUCAGCUGAACGAUGUUCAUGAGAAUGUAAAGAAAACUCUAGGACUUAAGGAAGAAAGGAACAUAUCUGGAAACACAGAGAUGGCUGAGUCCUAUGUUGACAAUUGUGACUACCAACUGGACCGGGAACCUGAAGACUCUGUCCCACAUGCAUCAUUGACGUUGCGUGACUACCAGAUGGAGCUAGCUGAUUCAGGAUUAAAGGGACAUAACUGUAUCAUAGUGGCUCCUACAGGAAGUGGAAAGACCCAUGUGGCUCUAAAGAUCAUGGAGGAACAUUUCAAGAGGAUGAGAGGGAGGAGAAACCCUAAGGUGGCUUUCCUGGUAGAACAGAGUGCGUUGGCUGAGCAACAGGGCCAACAAUGUCGUCAGUACCUUUCUAAAGAGGUGAAAGUAAUCACUGGAGAAACGCAGAGAACCGAAAACUUCCAGGAACUGUCAGAGUGGAUUAAAAGGAGGGACGUUUUAGUGGUAACAGCCCAACUACUGGUGAAUGCCCUGUUUGAGAAAAACGUGAUGAUCACCGAUUUCUCGCUGCUUGUGUUUGAUGAAUGCCAUCACUCCAACCUCAAGCAUGCAUUCAACAGAAUAAUGCAUCAUUACAUAGAUCUCAAGCUCGACGAUACGGUAGACGGUAGAGCCCUACCACAGGUUGUGGGAUUAACAGCCUCGGUCGGGGUCGGCAAGGCAAAGAAGAAGGAGGAUGCCAUUUCCUGGAUAGAAAAGAUCAUGGCCCACUUGGAUGCACAGGAAUUGUGCACAGUACGACAACACACAUCUAAACUCCGGCAAUACGUCUCCCUGCCAGAGCAAAGUACAGAGAAAGUACAAGGUCGAGUGAGCAAUGUGUUUGGUAAAGCAAUUAACAAUCUGAUGGCCAAAAUAGAGCAGUACAUGCAAGCCUCUCGACAUGCUGGUACAGUACCAGAUGUUCAGGCAACGCUCCGUGCACCAGCUGAACGAGGAACAGACCCUUAUACACAGUGGUUAAGCCGCUUGUGGAAGGAGACAGCCAAGGUGUACGACCAGGCAGCUCGCCGAUUCUUCACAACCUGUAGAAAUUAUCUAGAUUUGUACAAUAAGAGCCUGAUCAUCUACCAAGAUGCUCGAGUCAAAGAUGCUCUUGACUUUCUUGACAACGGUAUCCAAGCUAUCAAUGAACAUAGCAUCAAAGAUGAAACAGACAGGAAGAUGGAGUUAAUAUAUCAAGGUAGCCGAAGUUUGCUGGAGAACUGCUUGUACAAUGCAGAACAAGUAAACCCAAAGCUUAACAAGCUCAAGGAGAUGUUGAUGGAGGCAUAUAAGCAAAAAGAAGAUUCCAGAGGGAUAAUUUUUGUGAAAACUCGUGAUCUUGUCAAGGCCAUUGAGUCAUGGAUGAAAGAUGACAAUACUUUGAAGAAAUUGAAUCCAGUCAAGUUUGUUGGGGCACAAGCAUCUAUUGAGAAAGGAGGUAUGACCAAGAAUGAACAAGUAGAUGUCCUACAGUAUUUCCGUGAUGGUCAACACAAGGUCAUCAUUGCGACCUCGGUAGCUGAGGAGGGACUGGACAUACAGAAGUGUAACCUUGUCAUCAGAUACGAUUAUGUAACCAACGAAAUAGCCAUGGUCCAGUCUAGAGGUAGAGGCAGGGCUGAGGACAGCAAGUACGUGCUACUGGCUGCGGAGGGAGGGAGGGCUGCCCAGAAAGAAGAGAUCAAUCUCAUGAGGGAGGCCAUGAUGACCAAAGCUAUAGAAAAACUCCAGGAACGUAUACAUGAAGACCAGGCAGGAUUUCAGAGGAGGAUUUUAAAAAUACAAAUGGAGGAAAAGCUUGCGCGUGAUAUGGACGCCUGUAAGGGGAAUAGGAGAGACAUACAGGAGGGUCAGUUUGAGCUGCGAUGUGGAAAAUGUCAGGACUACAUCUGUAUGGCUUCUGAUGUCAAAACCAUAAUGUCAGCCCACCACGCAGUCUUAUGUGAGGACAUUACUAAUCGCGUCGCUGCAAAGAGACUUAACCGAGCCCAAUUCAGCGACCAACAACUACAGUCGGGUGUUGGCAAAAUCACGUGUCGGAAGUGUGGUUCUGACCUCGGCAAUGUCAGUAUCUUCAAAGGAAUCCAGUUUCCCAUCAUCAAGAUUUCCAGCUUCAGCAUAGUUGAUGCCUACGGAAUGGUGGACUGCAAGAAGAAGUGGAAACAGGUGCCGUUCCAUGUGGCUGAACUAUCCAAUGAGGAUCUCGUGGUCUUGAUGAGAAGGGGAACUCAACUUAUCAAUCUUCUUCCUGUUUAAUGCAAAUAUAACAUGAUAGAGAGAGACACACACAUACAGAGAGAAAGAGAAAGGAAGAACGUAACUGCUUAUCCUUUAUCAUUUUCAGCUCUUUAACACUUUUUCAAUGAACGUAAUUUGUUUUAAAAAUAAGUAACAGAUGUAGAAGUCCACUGUUAGCUUGUGAAAAUGCACUUAUUUAUUUAUUAAAAGACAUGCCUUGAUCACAAUUAUGUCUUCUUUGAAUGAAGGGGCGACAAUUGUAUAUGUAUAUACAAUAAAUGUAUAUAAACAAAAAAGAUUCAACAUGACAAACAAUUGCAAUCAAUGACACUAUAGCGCUUUCAGGCCUUCCUGGUCAUCUUCUGUGUUCACAAUGUCAUCUUUUUGAACUAUAUAUAUAUAUAUAUAUAUAUGUGUGUGUGCUUUAAUAUUGCUUGUCCUUGUAGUUGUCAUUGUAAUUCUCCUUGUAUUUGGUCUAAAGCAUUCUUUGUCUGGAACAGGCCAUUUCUUUUGAACGUUAAAGAUAUGUCUUGAUGAAAUAUAAUGUAAGCAUCUCCCAAAGGUGCUGUGCAUUGUACUAAACCAGGUAAUUGUGUCAGUCUCACCUUCAUUUCAAGGCCAAAAGUCGGUUAUAAGUCAGUCAUUUCUGGAGGGCUUAUUUUUCAGUUCACAAAACAAAUCUCUAGUUUAAACAAAUGCCUGUUGACUUGUCACUACUGCAGUGAGAGAUAUAUAUCAUUGCCCAGUAUUCAGAAAUCAUUAAAAGUUAUUGGUACUUGAAACUAUAAAUGUUGCCAAGGCCGAGGUUAUUCAUUUUAACAAAAUUGAUAGCCUGUUAAAACUUUCAUUUCCUUCUAUGCUGGGGGCCAAGAUAUAGCUGAGUCAGUUGGAGUGCCAGCCGUAUGUAACCUAAGGUGGACCAUGUUGGUUUGUUUCUUAGGAAGCUGAGAAAUGGGACAGUCUAUGCUGUCAUGGUUUUGUCCAGGCAUGGUCAAGUCGACACUUUACCCUUAUUGCUUUAUAAUUAGAUGGUAUGCAAAGGGCCUCCUGUAUGUUGUUGAGUGAGGUAAUCACAAGGAGACCCCACCUCAAAAUGACCCUGGCUGUUGAUGGGGCGAUAAACCCAGCAAACAAACGAACCUUCUAUGCCAGAGUAUUUGACCUUUUUGUUAUUGAGAUGUUUCAUGACUCAUCACUCAAUUCACUGCGUAACUUCCCUUGUCAUACAAUGGUGCGCAGGUGAGUUAAAACUGGCUGAUAUACACAACAAAUAAGAACAUAUUGAAUGAGUACCACCAAUUUGCUUGUUACAUUCAUCAGUAUCAAAUAUUGAUUUUUCUGUGCCAUAUAAUAUGUAAUAUAAUUUUCCUCUGAAUUUUUAGACUCCUUUCAAAUUUUGAAGGGGUAUGGGCUUGUCUGUUUGUCCAUUCAUUGCUUAUAACUUUUGUUAGCAUGGCGAUCUCUUUUUCCAGUUUUUGACUCAUUUCUUUGGACUUUGAUACUGGGCUUUAUAUUAACAGCAUAACUGAUCAUUAAAAGCCCUACAUGUGGGAUGACACAUCAGUGUGAUGCAGUUUUAUAUUCACUAUUUGGCAUAUACAUUAUUAAAUUGUAUCAAAAGGUGCUUUCUCCUAUAUACUAUAGGUGUCUAUUACAUAAUUCUGUGUGUCAGUGUGUGUGGGACGAGUCUGACCAGUUAAUCAGGAUUCUAUAUGUUGAGAGCUGUUAAUUAGGGUAAUUAAUCCAUUUAGUACAGCUAGACUAAAGACUGUUUUGUAUAAAGAUUUCAUCAGAAAUUGUACAUACCAUGUUAUUUUAAAAAUUAUCUACAAUGCCACAUCACAAUCCUGUAAGUUGUGCAGCAUAAGAUCACAUUUCAGUCACCGGACCAGACGUAAUAUAACCAAUACAUACAUGUAUACAUGUAUACAUGUAUAUAGCAUUAUGUUCUGUGUCUAUAUAUCAAUAUAUAUGUAAUCUAUUUAUCAGAUAAUUGGCCAGCUAUCCAGUGAAUUUGCCCAAGUAUUAAGUUUUUUUCUUUGGUUGUACCAGUCGGAAAUCGAUUGUGACGUCAUAAUGUGGACAAUGGAUGUCAUGAUUUGUGAAUGGCGCAACAAAAUGGCCGUCUCUGCUUAAUUAAGCUCUCCACAUUUCAAUGUUAAAACCUUGCCAAAUGGCAGUUCUGGCUUCUCUAUGUUUUGUUAUAAAAAGUAUCUUAAAUUUGUUUUCAUUUCAUAUAAAAUUUUAUGCAACUUGUCUCGAAGUUUAAAUUUUUGUGUGCCUUAAAUAAAAACUUGUAAGACUUGUUUCAUAAAAUCUCAUAUGAAAUGAGAACAGAUUAAAGAUUCUGUAUUUAUUAUCAGUGUUUUGUGUUCAGAAUGAUAAAUGAAUUUUAAUUCUAGUUUGUAUUUGUUAUUUAUGUACAUCAUAAUUGUAUACAUUUGUAUAUAUAAUUCUAUCAAAUAAAAUUAUAUAAUUGG